rnacentral:lncRNA from 1 species
CUUGGAAUUCCAUCACCCUUGCCAAGAACUUAAAAUGACUUGCAGAACAGACAAAAACAGAACUGAAAACCAUUUCUCAGGUCCAUAGAGCCUGAAGGAGGGGGGAGGGAGGACAUAAUUUCUCUCCUUCACACAGCCAGUUCAUGGCACCAAGUUAUGGGUGAAAAGGACUUUCUGAAUGCUUAGGAAAGAGACUGUCCUAUUCUAACAAUUUUAAAGAUGUAACCUAUUCCAGCUACAUAGCCAAUGAAAAGAUACUGUUCCUACUCAUAGCGUAGGCGAAUGCAAAAGACCAUUGAUUGGAAAUGAUACAUCAUUUUUCAUUGCUAUAUCCAGGUCACUGGGGUCCUUCUUGGGAAGGUAAUGAGAUUUAAGGGAUCAGCACCCUUCAGCAGCAGUUGUUGAUCCAAAGAUAUCAGAGAUCUU